rnacentral:rRNA from 1 species
UAAGAGGGGGAGUAACAUCCGGAAACGGGUAGCUAAUACCGCAUAGUUUCUUGAUCGCAUGAUUGAGAAAGGAAAGACGGCCUUUGUGCUGUCGCUUAUGGAUGGACCCGCGGCGUAUUAGUUAGUUGGUGAGGUAACGGCUCACCAAGACGAUGAUACGUAGCCGACCUGAGAGGGUGAUCGGCCGCAUUGGGACUGAGACACGGCCCAAACUCCUACGGGAGGCAGCAGUAGGGAAUCUUCCGCAAUGGACGAAAGUCUGACGGAGCAACGCCGCGUGAGUGAAGUAAAGGUUUUCGGAUCGUAAAACUCUGUUGUCAGAGAAGAACAAGUUGGAGAGUAACUGCUCCAGCCUUGACGGUAUCUGACCAGAAAGCCACGGCUAACUACGUGCCAGCCGCUGC